rnacentral:rRNA from 1 species
AUGAGCGAGUGGCAAUGGCGUCGUCGGAAACCGACCGAGCAGCGGACGCAACCCGCCGCGGCCGCUCGGGCACCGACGCUCCGGAUCUGGGACGCUGAUUUUCUCCGGCGGGAGCGGCAGCUCGGGGGUGGUGGAGGAGAAGGCAGCGGGAGCACGGCAAGUUCCCCGCUCACCAAUGCUCUCCCCACUGGUAAUAUCUCCUCGUCUGGCGGCGUCGCGGUGGCGCCGGCCACUCCCCGGCUGCGCGCCCGCCCGGAGGUGCUCGAAUCCGGCCCCGGCCACUACGGCCACGGCAGCAUCAUGCGGGGCAGCAUGGCCCCCGCCAAGAGCAUCGGCAUUGACGCCGGCAGCAUCUUAAGAACUCUCGCAGCAUCCAGGAGACGCAGGCCGCCAUUUUACAGUCUCGGCUGA